CUGCGUGUAUUGUGUGUGUUGUCAGUUGUGUCAUGUGUGUAAUACGUGCGCGUCGCACACCUCUGCGCGGCGCAAACGUGUUUCUCUCCCCCAUCCGAUGUGUCUCGCUCUCGUUUCGAAGCUCCGGCACAGUAGAGUCGAGAGCCGCAGGCCGCUCCGAACGAUACGAGUACCUAUAAUGUCGCUUCUUGUUGUGUAUACGGAGUCCGAUGUAAACAGCUGUUAUUCCCCUGCGAAGCCCGCCUUCCUAUACGCACACGCGCUGAACAUUGUGUACGUACGAUAACACUGCUGGAGGCGAUAAGCACCAGGAAAUUAAUUAUCAGUCGCUGUGCCGUUGAGAUAUGUGAUUGUUUCGCGUGGACACGGGUUAAAAUUGUAUUGCAUGCGUGAGAAGUUGUCUAUCCGCGAUUGUCAGGUACAUACACAAUAUUUGUUCGAUUGAUGAACACGCCGCCGCGAAAUCGUUGAAUCGCAGAGAGGUGCACCGCACAGAUUCGCGAUAAUCGCUCGCUUUUCCUUAACUGUACUAAAGCUGUGUGCAUAGCUCGUUGCUGUACUGUAUAAACAAUAUUUUGAAAUACAUCCAAACAGUGCAAAGUCAGUUUCAAUUUAUUAUUUGUGAUUGUAUACGUUUUAUAAAAAUGAAAAUUGAAAAUUUCAAACGUUACAAAUCAUGCUAUCAAAAGCUCUAUAAAAUCAUAUUCAUAUAACUAAAGUUUGAUAUCGUUCACUGAGACGUUUGUCGUGAUUGCAAACAUUUUCCCCGCUUGAGAUUUGAAAAAAGACAUUUGAAGUCGUCAACGAUACGGAUAUAAUACCUAUGUUACGCAAAUAUCAAUAAAUUUCAAGGUUACGUAUCAAGGGCUCUUUUACAGAAAAAGGGCAGGAGCAACUGGUGCCCACUUUCCAGCCAAAUACAGAAAUCGUUGGGCACUUCUCAUAUAGCACUUUUGAGGAAUCAACGUGUUAUCGACUUAUGCAGAUACUUUUAUAUGCUUAUUGGUGAUGCACUGGUAGAAUUUUUGAGCCAAAUUUUACAGUAUGAAUUCAAAAAGUUCAUUCUAUGUUGAUUGUUUGUUUUUACUUAUCUAAUUAUGACGAGAGUCAUAUCUAUCUAUCUAUGCAGAUAUAGUAGACAGCUCUUCGAACCUUUUACCGGUCUUAUACCGGCGUGACUACGAGUCGCGUUCGAAAUCCACGGAAAUGAGUAAAAAUAAAAUAACAAGUUUAAUUUCAAAUGUCAAGUACAAAAAGCUUUAUGUAGGCAUCCAUUAUGGGAAAAUUUGUAUUGUCAAGCGAGUCAAGCUUCUAUGUUCUAUUUAAUUUGAUGUUUUGCCAUGACUCUUUGAACAAUUUCAUGCAAUUUAUUAAUACAUUAUCUGUUGUAGAUGAUUAAAACACAACACGCUUUAUCUUUCUACAAAUCUAAAGCACAGCCAAUAAAUACUGUUCUUAGUAGCAUAA